UACAGAGGGGGCAAGCGUUGUUCGGAAUUACUGGGCGUAAAGGGCGCGUAGGCGGCCCGCUAAGUCGAACGUGAAAUCCCCGAGCUCAACUCGGGAACUGCGUCCGAUACUGGCGGGCUUGAAUCCGGGAGAGGGAUGCGGAAUUCCAGGUGUAGCGGUGAAAUGCGUAGAGAUCUGGAGGAACACCGAUGGCGAAGGCAGCCUUCUGGGCCAACACUGACGCUCAUGCACGAAAGCGUGGGGAGCAAACAGG
rnacentral:rRNA from 1 species